rnacentral:rRNA from 1 species
AUACGGAGGGUGCAAGCGUUAUUCGGAAUCACUGGGCGUAAAGGACGCGUAGGCGGGUUAUUAAGUCGGGUGUGAAAUCCAAUGGCUCAACCAUUGAACUGCAUUCGAAACUGAUAACCUAGAGUAUGGAAGGGGCAGGUGGAAUUAGUGGUGUAGGGGUAAAAUCCGUAGAUAUCACUAGGAAUACCGAAAGCGAAGGCGACCUGCUGGGACAUUACUGACGCUGAGGCGUGAAAGCGUGGGGAGCAAACAGGAUUAGAAACCCCGGUAGUCC